rnacentral:rRNA from 1 species
AUGGGCAUGCGUGCCCAUUAGCUAGAUGGUAAGGUAACGGCUUACCAUGGCAAUGAUGGCUAGGGGUUCUGCAAGGAAGGCCCCCCACACUGGUACUGAGACACGGACCAGACUCCUACGGGAGGCAGCAGUGAGGAAUAUUGGUCAAUGGAGGCAACUCUGAACCAGCCAAGCCGCGUGAAGGAAGACUGUCCUAUGGAUUGUAAACUUCUUUUGUGGCAGAAUAAACUACCGUACUUGUACGGUAUUGCAUGUAUGCCAUGAAUAAGCAUCGGCUAACUCCGUGCCAAGCAGCCGCGGUAAUACGGAGGAUGCAGGCGUUAUCCGGAUUUAUUAGGUUUAAAGGGUGUUCAGGCUGCCUGGUAAGUCAGGGGUGAAAGUCGGUCGCUCAACGAUCGAAUUGCCUUUGAAACUGUCAGGCUCGAGUAUGGAUGCGGUAGCCGGAAUGUGUAGUGUAGCGGUGAAAUGCAUAGAUAUUACACAGAACACCGAUUGCGAAGGCAGCUUACCAAACCAGCACUGACGCUGAAGCACGAAAGCGUGGGGAGCGAACAGGAUUAGAUACCCUGGUAGUCCACGCCGUAAACUUUGCUCACUCGCUGUUGGCGAUAGUCAGUCAGCGGCCAAGGGAAACCGAUAAGUGAGCCACCUGGGGAGUACGGCCGCAAGGUUGAAACUCAAAGGAAUUGACGGGGGCCCGCACAAGCGGUGGAACAUGUGGUUUAAUUCGAUGAUACGCGAGGAACCUUACCUGGGCUUAAAUGUGAAGUGCAUUGAUUGGAAACAAUCAUUUCCUUCGGGACCCUUUACAAGGUGCUGCAUGGUUGUCGUCAGCUCGUGCCGUGAGGUGUCGGGUUAAGUCCCAUAACGAGCGCAACCCCUAUUGUUAGUUACCAGCGCGUAAUGGCGGGGACUCUAGCGAAACUGCCGGUGUAAACCGCGAGGAAGGUGGGGAUGACGUCAAAUCAGCACGGCCCUUAUGUCCAGGGCUACACACGUGUUACAAUGGCCGGUACAGCGGGCAGCUAGGCAGCGAUGUCAUGCUAAUCCCGAAAGCCGGUCCCAGUUCGGAUUGGAGUCUGCAACCCGACUCCAUGAAGGUGGAAUCGCUAGUAAUCGCGCAUCAGCCAUGGCGCGGUGAAUACGUUCCCG